GGACCGUGCUGGAGCCCAUCUGCAUGUGCCAGGCAGGACCCUUUUGAUCCACCGCCACCGAGCUUGUCACCCCGGAGCUGGCAGGAAUGUGGCUGAGCGAGACCUCUCUGCUUGCUGGAGGCCGAUUUUGACGGCAGGCAGGCUGCAGUGGGGUUUCUCUUUCUCUUUGACCCUGCAGAAUCUAGAGGAACCACUUGUCAACUCAAAAGCUUUCCGUUGGGCAAAAUCCCAAGAGGAAAAGCAAACCGUCAUCCCACGUGGACUUGCCUGUGCUGCUAAGGAAAAGCCAUUCAAAGAGAGAUCAUGAAUGU